rnacentral:rRNA from 1 species
UAUAACGGUCCUAAGGUAGCGAAAUUCCUUGUCGGGUAAGUUCCGACCCGCACGAAAGGCGUAACGAUUUGGGCACUGUCUCAACGAGAGACUCGGUGAAAUUUUAGUACCUGUGAAGAUGCAGGUUUCCCGCGACAGGACGGAAAGACCCCAUGGAGCUUUACUGUAGUUUGAUAUUGAGUGUCUGUACCGCAUGUACAGGAUAGGUAGGAGCCGUAGAAAUCGGAACGCUAGUUUCGAUGGAGGCGCUGGUGGGAUACUACCCCUGCGUUAUGGCCACUCUAACCCGCACCACUAAUCGUGGUGGGAGACAGUGUCAGAUGGGCAGUUUGACUGGGGCGGUCGCCUCCUAAAAGGUAACGGAGGCGCCCAAAGGUUCCCUCAGAAUGGUUGGAAAUCAUUCGAAGAGUGUAAAGGCAGAAGG